UACGUAGGGGGCAAGCGUUGUCCGGAUUUAUUGGGCGUAAAGAGCGUGUAGGCGGCCAUGCAGGUCCGUUGUGAAAACUCGAGGCUCAACCUCGAGACGCCGGUGGAAACCGUAUGGCUAGAGUCCGGAAGAGGAGAGUGGAAUUCCUGGUGUAGCGGUGAAAUGCGCAGAUAUCAGGAAGAACACCCGUGGCGAAGGCGGCUCACUGGACCGGUACUGACGCUGAUGCGCGAAAGCGUGGGGAGCAAACGGG
rnacentral:rRNA from 1 species